rnacentral:rRNA from 1 species
CACGAACCGUACGAACGUUAUUCGGAAUUACUGGGCUUAAAGGGUUUGUAGGCGGCCAUGUAAGUCAGGUGUGAAAUCCCUCGGCUCAACCGAGGAACGGCGCUUGAUACUGCAUGGCUUGAGGGAGACAGGGGUAAGCGGAACUGAUGGUGGAGCGGUGAAAUGCGUUGAUAUCAUCAGGAACACCGGUGGCGAAAGCGGCUACUGGGUCUCUUCUGACGCUGAGGCGCGAAAGCUAGGGGAGCAACGGGG